CCGCGGCUGCGGCAUGGGAUGAGUUGGCUGCGGACUUGCGUUCUGCAGCAACGUCGUUCCAGGCGGUGACGUCGG
rnacentral:tRNA from 1 species